CUAUUUAUAGCAUAUCCUUACAUAGUAGGAUUUAUUGUCCACUACCAUUCACUCACCAUAGGACUUAGAAAAUUCACACUAACAUGCUUAUAAAUUCCCACUAGCCUCUAUAAUGACUUAGUGCACCACUAGGAAGCAUCUAGAGAGCCUAGUGAGCAACUAAAGGUCAUCUAAAAACCCUCCUAAUACCAAAAACGAAAAUUACAAUAUAAAUAAAGAAAAUUGGACUUAAUUGUUUU
rnacentral:lncRNA from 1 species